GACGAACGCUGGCGGCGUGCUUAACACAUGCAAGUCGAACGCUGAAGCUUGGUGCUUGCACUGGGUGGAUGAGUGGCGAACGGGUGAGUAAUACGUGAGUAACCUGCCCUUGACUCUGGGAUAAGCCUGGGAGACUGGGUCUAAUACUGGAUACGACAUGUCACCGCAUGGUGGUGUGUGGAAAGGGUUUUACUGGUUUUGGAUGGGCUCACGGCCUAUCAGCUUGUUGGUGGGGUAAUGGCUCACCAAGGCGACGACGGGUAGCCGGCCUGAGAGGGUGACCGGCCACACUGGGACUGAGACACGGCCCAGACUCCUACGGGAGGCAGCAGUGGGGAAUAUUGCACAAUGGGCGGAAGCCUGAUGCAGCGACGCCGCGUGAGGGAUGACGGCCUUCGGGUUGUAAACCUCUUUCAGCACGGAAGAAGCGAAAGUGACGGUACGUGCAGAAGAAGCGCCGGCUAACUACGUGC
rnacentral:rRNA from 1 species